rnacentral:rRNA from 1 species
UACGUAGGGUCCGGAGCGUUCGUCGAUUUGAUUGGCGUAAAGAGCUCGUAGGCGGCUUGUCGCGUCGUCCGUGAAAACCUGUGGCUCAACUGCAGGCUGGCGGUCGAUACGGGCAGACUGGAGUACUGCAGGGGAGACUGGAAUUCCUGGUGUAGCGGUGGAAUGCGCAGAUAUCAGGAGGAACACCGGUGGCGAAGGCGGGUCUCUGGGCAGUAACUGACGCUGAGGAGCGAAAGCGUGGGGAGCGAACAGG